UACGGAGGGUGCAAGCGUUAUCCGGAUUCACUGGGUUUAAAGGGUGCGUAGGAGGGCAGGAAAGUCAGUGGUGAAAUCCUAGGGCUUAACUCUAGAACUGCCGUUGAUACUACUUGUCUUGAAUACCGUGGAGGUGAGCGGAAUAUGUCAUGUAGCGGUGAAAUGCUUAGAUAUGACAUAGAACACCAAUUGCGAAGGCAGCUCACUACACGAAUAUUGACUCUGAGGCACGAAAGCGUGGGGAUCAAACAGG
rnacentral:rRNA from 2 species